ACUCCCGUUCCCAUUUCCAAGACCUCUGAAAACGGUGAGUUGAUUUUCUCUGACACUUCAUGGGGUUGAAAAUUUUCAUUCAUUCAUUUGCCACAUCGUUACCAUUCAUUCACAAAUAUUCACUCUGUACCAAGGCCUGUGGGGGCUGCCGGGAACCCAGAGAUAAGUCAGGUGUCAGUCCUUAAAAUACCCCCAGCCUAAACAGUGGCACAAGCUGUUCCAGAAGCACAGAGGAAGUCUCUGUCCUGAUCUAACCCCCAAGUCCAGAAACAGUGAAACAGCAUCACCUUAUUACACAGACGGGGCACACAAAGGCCACAGUGUCAGAGUGGGGGGACCUCAGAGGCAUCUGUCACAGGUGACAAAUACAUGCUGCUUGUCAUGACCAUGGCAGACAUUAAGAAUCACACAAGUGUCUUAUCUUUCCCUGAGAACCUUUGAAUCGAUGUCAGUAUGUCCGCUUCUUGGUUUCCAGAUGCCAAAAUCUACUUGAGUCCCCUAUGCGGAAUGACGCAAUAUUUGCAUAUAACCUACACACAACCUCCUGCAUGCUUUAAAUCAUCUCUAGUUGCUGAGACCUGAAGCCUUGGAUCUUUCUCUCCCAUCACAUCCGUCCAUCAUGUCUUCAGUAUCUUACCCAUCUCCCAGCCAGGCCUGAGCCUCUCUUCCUCCUCCUUGUUCCCCAUGCCCAACCUGCUUCUUCUCAGCUGAGCAGCUGCAAUGAACCUGUCCAAACCUUGGAUAUGUACAAAACAAAAUUAAAAACCCCAAAGUGGGCCCGGUGGCAGCACCUGUAAUCCCAGCACUCCAGAAGCAGAGGCGGGAGAUGGCCACAAGUUCAAGGCCAGCCUGGUCUACAUAUUAAGUUCCAAGGCAACCAGAGCUACAAAUGACCCUGUUUCUAAAAUCAAGCAAAAAUAAAAACAAAAAACAUUUAGGCUCA